rnacentral:tRNA from 1 species
GGGGUUGUAGUUCAACGGUAGAGUGCUCGCCUGGUAUGUGGGAGGCUCUGGGUUCGAUCCCCAGCCCA